rnacentral:rRNA from 1 species
UACGUAGGGUGCGAGCGUUGUCCGGAAUUAUUGGGCGUAAAGAGCUUGUAGGCGGUUUGUCGCGUCUGCCGUGAAAGCCCAGGGCUUAACCCUGGGUCUGCGGUGGGUACGGGCAGACUAGAGUGUGGUAGGGGAGACUGGAAUUCCUGGUGUAGCGGUGAAAUGCGCAGAUAUCAGGAGGAACACCGGUGGCGAAGGCGGGUCUCUGGGCCGUUACUGACGCUGAGGAGCGAAAGCGUGGGGAGCGAACAGG